rnacentral:lncRNA from 1 species
ACUCACAGUCUGCAGCGUCUUCAGGCAGCCAUCAUUUCACAUGAGAGCAGCUGCCUGGAGGAUGCAUUCCUGGAAGUGUGCACAGUGAGGAUGGCUUGGCAGUGAGCACUCUUCCCGCCCUCCUUUUUGUGUUUCUUCAAAAAUCCGGAAGGAGCAGCUUUCUGUCUCCUUGCCCUUCCACCAUGACGCUUCUGCCUUACCAUGGGCCAAAGAGUAAUGGAGCCAGCUACCUGUAGACUGAAAUCUCUGAGACUGAGACCAAACAAACCUUUCCUCAUUCAGUUGUGUAUCUCAGGUAUUUCUCACCGAAGGGCAGCCUGCCCGCUCCAUGACUGACAGGAUGGGGUGGCCCCGCCCCCGGGCUGACUGAUGGAUCCGACUCCGUCCCCCAUCCAGCCCAGACUCGGGUCCAGCACAGUGAAUGGGGCCCUGAAGUGCAGUGUGCAGCUCGGGGUCUCAGGCCUCCCGUUCAGAGCCUCUCCACCCACUGGCCGACUGACCUUGGUUUUGCCCCCUGCUAUGGUCAGAGUCCCCCAAACCUCUAAGUUGAAGCUGAAGGCCGAGGUGAUGGUGUCAGGAGGGGCAGCCCUCGGGAGGCCGUCAGGUCACAGGGCAGAGGUCUCACGGAAGAGAUUAGUGCCCUUACAAUGGGCUCGAGGGGAGGGGCAGUGCCCCUUGCUUCUCUUCUGGCAUGUGAGGACACAGUUUGUCCUCUCCGGAGGAGGCAGAGACUGGGCCCUCAGCAGACUGGAGUCAUCUUGGUCUUGUACUUCCUGCCUCCAGAGCUGUGAGGAAACGAAUUUCCCUUCUUUUUAAAGUAACCAGCUUAAGGUAUUUUUUUCCAGCGAUCUAAAGGGACUGAGACAUUGUCUGGACUGGGGUUUCCUGUCUAGAAGAUGGGUCUGUUGUGGAUUCCAUGAGGUCAUAUGGAUCUUCUGCAUUUGGUUCUAGCUAACAGAUGGAUUGCGGUUGCAAGAGUCUUGAACGCCACAGGGAUCAUUACCUAAGAGUUGGACUUCUGGCAACUGAGCUCAAGACUGAUGCACGCUGUGUCUUAGGGUGCUCUCCUGGGCUGAGCAGGGCCUGGAGCAGGCAGAUGUGCUCACAGCUGCCCGGGUGCCAGGAUACCACAGCCACUGUCCUGCUCAGUCCAGCCCUGGGCUUUGGUGUCCAGGCGGGAGAAACUUGGCUCUGUUGAGCUUUUCAAAAUAAAGUGGUUUUUAUUUCAUAUUCACGAGAGAGGUUGC